rnacentral:rRNA from 1 species
CCUACGGGUGGCAGCAGUGGGGAAUAUUGGGCAAUGGGCGCAAGCCUGACCCAGCAACGCCGCGUGAAGGAAGAAGGCCCUCGGGUUGUAAACUUCUUUUAUCAAGGACGAAACAAAUGACGGUACUUGAUGAAUAAGCCACGGCUAACUACGUGCCAGCAGCCGCGGUAAUACGUAGGUGGCAAGCGUUAUCCGGAUUUACUGGGUGUAAAGGGCGUGUAGCCGGGAAGGCAAGUCAGAUGUGAAAUCCGGAGGCUCAACCUCCGAAUUGCAUUUGAAACUGUUUUUCUGGAGUACUGGAGAGGCAGACGGAAUUCCUUGUGUAGCGGUGAAAUGCGUAGAUAUAAGGAGGAACACCAGUGGCGAAGGCGGUCUGCUGGACAGCAACUGACGGUGAGGCGCGAAAGCGUGGGGAGCAAACAGGAUUAGAUACCCCGGUAGUC